AACGAACGCUGGCGGCAUGCCUAACACAUGCAAGUCGAACGAGACCUUCGGGUCUAGUUGCGCACGGGUGCGUAACGCGUGGGAACCUGCCCUUAGGUUCGGAAUAACUCCCCUAAAGGGGUGCUAAUACCGGAUAAUGUCUUCGGACCAAAGAUUUAUCGACUUUGUAUGGGCCCGCGUUGGAUUAGCUAGUUGGUAGUGUAAAAGCCUACCAAGGCGACGAUACAUAGCUGGUCUGAGAGGAUGAUCAGCCACACUGGGACUGAGACACGGCCCAGACUCCUACGGGAGGCAGGAGUGGGGAAUAUUGGACAAUGGGCGAAAGCCUGAUCCCGCACUGCCGCGUGAGUGAUGAAGGCCUUAGGGUUGUAAAGCUCUUUUACCCGGGAUGAUAAUGACAGUACCGGGAGAAUAAGCUCCGGCUAACUCCGUG
rnacentral:rRNA from 1 species